AACGUAGGAGCCAAGCGUUAUCCGAAUUCACUGGGCGUAAAGCGCGUGCAGGCGGAAGCGUAAGUUGGCUGUGAAAUCUCCUGGCUCAACUGGGAGAGGCCGGUCAAAACUGCGUUUCUGGAGGGCGGUAGAGGGAGGUGGAAUUCCCGGUGUAGUGGUGAAAUGCGUAGAUAUCGGGAGGAACACCAGUGGCGAAAGCGGCCUCCUGGACCGAUCCUGACGCUAAGAUGCGAAAGCUAGGGGAGCAAACGGGAUUAGAAACCCCCGUAGUCC
rnacentral:rRNA from 1 species